ACAAGUUGAACGUGAAGCCACUUCGGUGGUGGAAAGUAGCGCACGGGUGAGUAACGCGUGGGAAUUUACACUUCAGUACGGAACAACAGUUGGAAACGACUGCUAAUACCGUAUAAUGACUCCGGUCCAAAGAUUUAUCGCUGAAGGAUAAGCCCGCGUCUGAUUAGCUAGUUGGUGAGGUAAGAGCUCACCAAGGCGACGAUCUCUAGCUGGUUUGAGAGGAUGAUC
rnacentral:rRNA from 1 species